UUACUUUAGCGGCAAAUAUACUAAAAUUGGAAUGAUACAGAGAAGAUUAGCAUGGCCCCUGCGCAAAGACGACACAAAUUUGUGAAGCAUUCCAUAUUUUU
rnacentral:snRNA from 1 species